rnacentral:rRNA from 1 species
UACGUAGGGGGCAAGCGUUGUCCGGAAUCAUUGGGCGUAAAGCGCGUGUAGGCGGUCCGGUAAGUCCGCUGUGAAAGUCGGGGGCUCAACCCUCGGAUGCCGGUGGAUACUGUCGGGCUUGAGUACGGAAGAGGCGAGUGGAAUUCCUGGUGUAGCGGUGAAAUGCGCAGAUAUCAGGAGGAACACCAAUUGCGAAGGCAGCUCGCUGGGACGUUACUGACGCUGAGGUGCGAAAGCUAGGGUAGCAAACGGG